GACGAACGCUGGCGGCGUGCUUAACACAUGCAAGUCGAACGGAAAGGCCCUGCUUUUGUGGGGUGCUCGAGUGGCGAACGGGUGAGUAACACGUGAGUAACCUGCCCUUGACUUUGGGAUAACUUCAGGAAACUGGGGCUAAUACCGGAUAGGAGCUCCUGCUGCAUGGUGGGGGUUGGAAAGUUUCGGCGGUUGGGGAUGGACUCGCGGGUUAUCAGCUUGUUGGUGGGGUAGUGGCUUACCAAGGCUUUGACGGGUAGCCGGCCUGAGAGGGUGACCGGCGACAUUGGGACUGAGAUACGGCCCAGACUCGUACGGGAGGCAGCAGUGGGGAAUAUUGCACAAUGGGCGGGAGCCUGAUGCAGCAACGCCGCGAGCGUGAUGACGGCCUUCGGGUUGUAAACCGCUUUCGCCUGUGACGAAGCGUGAGUGACGGUAAUGAGUAAAGAAGCACCGGCUAACUACGUG
rnacentral:rRNA from 1 species